CUUGUGACCGUGUAACUCGCUCUUCUUGCAUAAUCUUCUCUAGUCAAGAAGUUCAAAAUAAUGCUUUCCAGAGCAGGUAUAGUGUAUCUACACGGUUUCUAUAAAUUUAACAGACUGUAAUACAAAAUAAUGCGUGUGUGCAAGAGCGUGAGUUGUGGUGUCUAGGGGAACCAUAACUUUGCAUUUGCUGAGUUUUGAGCGUUAAAGUGGUUUUUAAAAUCCUAGUCAUGUUAUUGUACGAGUGUAGUUUAGUGCAGCAACUAACUAACUUUCCUUGCCUGUUUCUCUUCUAGAUCUCAUCACCAGUUUCACUGGAUUUUGUGCGGGAAUGAACAAAAUUCUUGCUGUUUCUGUAAGCUCCCUUUCUUUGGCCCUGGUGAUAAGAGAACCCCUCCAUGAAGUGAGCAUGUUUUACUGAAUGUAAAAGAAUCCGCCUAAAAAUUUGGAGCAGUGAGGCACAGCAUGUCUUCACUGAAGUGAAAGAGGAUAGACCUCCUCUCAAAACUUGGAAAGUUUUCCUAAAUGCCUGAGGGGCCAGACAUCUACCCCUCAGUGAAGUGAAUUUGAACAUUUGAAAAUGGAUGCUAUUGCUUUAGGUAUGUGAGUCAAAACCCUCUGGCUGAAGAUUAUUAAAUGCUGAAAAUCAUGCUGAAAAUAUUAAAUUAUGAA
rnacentral:lncRNA from 1 species